UUUAUAUUUGGUGAGCUGUGUCCAAAAGUCAGUGUUUACUGUGGUUGCUAGUUAUUGCUUCUGGUAGAUAUCUGCAAUAGAACUGGUAAUAAUGUGUCGAAGAGUAGAUUGUCCAAAAUGUGGAAAACCCACCUGGGAAGGUUGUGGUAAGCAUAUUGAACAAGCUUUAAAUGGUGUAGCACAGGAAGAUCGUUGUCCGUGCCCAAGAGAUAAAAAAUGAUAGGCCUACCAGACCAGAUUUAAUGUUUCAGUUUUCCUAGUGAUAUUCUGACUGUUGCCGUUGUUACUGUAGUGUGUUCAAAUGAAAUGUUUAAAAAGUCAGGUGGAAAUACUAAUUCCAUUCUAAGCAUAUCAUUAUAUUAUUGUUCCACUGGACAAUGACAUUAUUUUAUGUCCUAUGUCCAUAAAAUAAAUGCACAAAAUAGUUUA